GAUUCUUCAAGUGAAGUUGCAGUACUGCGAGACUUGAGUUUUUGCAGAAUGGUUUUCCGGUGAAGGUAUGCUUGAUCGGCGUCAAAUGGUUCCCGGAGAGCAUUGGUCAGGCGAGGAAGUUGAAACAACAUAUUGGUUUCGCCGAUUGGUGUUCUUCUCCGAUAGUCUCAAGUGAAAUUGUAUGUGCUCCGAACCGGUUUUUGGUUUCUUGCGCAAGG
rnacentral:misc_RNA from 1 species